GACGAACGCUGGCGGCGUGCCUAAUACAUGCAAGUCGAACGCUUUUUCUUUCACCGGAGCUUGCUCCACCGAAAGAAAAAGAGUGGCGAACGGGUGAGUAACACGUGGGUAACCUGCCCAUCAGAAGGGGAUAACACUUGGAAACAGGUGCUAAUACCGUAUAACACUAUUUUCCGCAUGGAAGAAAGUUGAAAGGCGCUUUUGCGUCACUGAUGGAUGGACCCGCGGUGCAUUAGCUAGUUGGUGAGGUAACGGCUCACCAAGGCAACGAUGCAUAGCCGACCUGAGAGGGUGAUCGGCCACACUGGGACUGAGACACGGCCCAGACUCCUACGGGAGGCAGCAGUAGGGAAUCUUCGGCAAUGGACGAAAGUCUGACCGAGCAACGCCGCGUGAGUGAAGAAGGUUUUCGGAUCGUAAAACUCUGUUGUUAGAGAAGAACAAGGAUGAGAGUAAAACGUUCAUCCCUAGACGGAUCUA
rnacentral:rRNA from 1 species